GGGCCAGACUCCUACGGGAGGCAGCAGUGAGGAAUAUUGGUCAAUGGGCUUACGCCUGAACCAGCCAAGUCGCGUGAGGGAAGACUGCCCUAUGGGUUGUAAACCUCUUUUGUCAGGGAGCAACGCCGGCUACGUGUAGCCGGACUGAGAGUACCUGAAGAAAAAGCAUCGGCUAACUCCGUGCCAGCAGCCGCGGUAAUACGGAGGAUGCGAGCGUUAUCCGGAUUUAUUGGGUUUAAAGGGUGCGCAGGCGGCACGGCAAGCCGGCGGGAAAAGCGCGGGGCUCAACCCCGCCCAGCCGUCGGAACUGCCGGGCUAGAGUGGGCGAGAAGUAUGCGGAAUGCGCGGUGUAGCGGUGAAAUGCAUAGAUAUCGCGCAGAACUCCGAUUGCGAAGGCAGCAUGCCGGCUCCACACUGACGCUGAGGCACGAAAGCGUGGGUAUCGAACAGGAUUAGAUACCCGUGUA
rnacentral:rRNA from 1 species